UACCAGCACCCCGAGUGGUCGGGACGUUUUAUUGGGCCUAAAGCAUCCGUAGCCGGUUCUACAAGUCUUCCGUUAAAUCCACCUGCUUAACAGAUGGGCUGCGGAAGAUACUAUAGAGCUAGGAGGCGGGAGAGGCAAGCGGUACUCGAUGGGUAGGGGUAAAAUCCGUUGAUCCAUUGAAGACCACCAAUGGCGAAGGCGGCUUGCCAGAACGCGCUCGACGGUGAGGGAUGAAAGCUGGGGGAGCAAACCGGG
rnacentral:rRNA from 1 species